CCUACGGGAGGCAGCAGUGGGGAAUUUUGGACAAUGGGGGCAACCCUGAUCCAGCCAUGCCGCGUGCGGGAAGAAGGCCUUCGGGUUGUAAACCGCUUUUAGCCGGGAAGAAAAGGCGAGGGAUAACACCCUUCGUUCUUGACGGUACCGGCGGAAUAAGCACCGGCUAACUACGUGCCAGCAGCCGCGGUAAUACGUAGGGUGCGAGCGUUAAUCGGAAUUACUGGGCGUAAAGCGUGCGCAGGCGGUUGAAAGCCCCGGGCUCAACCUGGGAAUGGCAUUGGAAACUGGCGGGCUUGAGUGUGGCAGAGGGGGGUGGAAUUCCGCGUGUAGCAGUGAAAUGCGUAGAGAUGCGGAGGAACACCGAUGGCGAAGGCAGCCCCCUGGGCUGACACUGACGCUCAGGCACGAAAGCGUGGGGAGCAAACAGGAUUAGAUACCCGGGUAGUC
rnacentral:rRNA from 1 species